UCAAGUAAUUUGCACACCACAAUCUCUUUAUUUAGUAUAUUACAGAGUAUAAAGUAUGCAUUUUAGUUAUCAAGAUAUAGAUCAACAUAAAGUAUUUUGUUGCAGGGCAUCUAAUUUUCAGUUUUUGACCGUGAUUUAUGAUGAAAAGUGUGGCAUUAGGGAUUAGCUGCAUGGCGUACCUUACUGUUCACUAAAACUCUGAUGUUGCAGCUGUUUUGGAGACCUUCAUGAUGUCUUGUACAUAUUGUUCCUCUGUUAUUGGCAGCAGGAGCCAAGGCUGUCAGGAUCUCAGCCAGGAGAACAUGAGCUGCUACCCUUGCGGAACCAACCGUAAUUUCCAUGGGGGAUCUUUAAUAUUUAUGGUCUUUUGAGGACUGUGGCAUGUCAUUGCAAGUUUGACACCUGCCGAGGGUAGCAAACCAGAACGUGAUGGCAUAAUAUCCAAAUGCAUCCAGACAAAGAUGUUUCCUUCAGAGAACAUGAGUGCUUGUGUGUCUUCUGUCCAGGAAGAAGCUGAUUGGUUCCUGCAGUCUUACUGGUGCCACGCCCUGCCGAUCAGCUGUCUCUUUGCUGCCUCCAUCAUCACUUCCUGCUUCAGCUUUGUUCUGUCUUGCUGUGUUUGCUCUGUCUUACUCUGCUAGUUAGUUACAUGUGUUAGUAAGAAUUUCUGUGUGUGUUCAAUCGAGUGUUCGUUUGUGAGAGAUUGAUCGUUGUUUGUUAGUUUGCUUGGCCCAUUUAUCCAUACUACUGACUUCCACCUGUUCUUUGUCUUUGAUUCUAGAUUGCCCCUGUUUGGAUCUGUUCACUUAUCAUUGUAAAUAAUUGUAUAUAAAAAUAUUCUGGGGAGG